AGUCGUGAGGGUUCGGCCCUCGGCGAACGGCUCAGUAACACGUAGAUAAUUUGCCCUUAGGUGGAGGAUACCCUCGGGAAACUGAGAAUAAUACUCCAUAGAUUUAGAAUGCUGGAAUGCUUUUAAAUUGAAAGAUUUAUCGCCUAAGGAUAAGUCUGCGGACUAUCAGGUCGUAGUUAGGGUAAAUACCUGACUAGCCUACGACGGAUACGGGUUGUGAGAGCACUAGCCCGGAGAUGAUAUCUGAGACACGAUAUCAGGCCCUACGGGGUGCAGCAGGCGCGAAAACUUCGCACUGUGCGAAAGCACGACGAGGGAACCCCAAGUGCUGGCUCGUAAGAGUCAGCUGUUUCUUUGUCUAAAAAACAGAGAGAGUAAGAGCUGGGUAAGACGGGUGCCAGCCGCCGCGGUAAUACCUGCAGCUCAAGUGGUGGCCGCUAUUAUUGGGCCUAAAACGUCCGUAGCCGGUUCUAUAAAUGCCUGGGUAAAUCGUACGGCUUAACCGUACGAAUUCCGGGUAGACUGUUCAACUUGGGACCGGGAGAGGCUAGAGGUACUCCUGGGGUAGAGGUGAAAUUCUGUAAUCCUAGGGGGACCACCAGUGGCGAAGGCGUCUAGCUAGAACGGGUCUGACGGUGAGGGACGA
rnacentral:rRNA from 1 species